GACGAACGCUGGCGGCGUGCUUAACACAUGCAAGUCGAACGGUAAGGCCCUUCGGGGUACACGAGUGGCGAACGGGUGAGUAACACGUGGGUGAUCUGCCCUGCACUUCGGGAUAAGCCUGGGAAACUGGGUCUAAUACCGGAUAGGACCACUGCCUGCAUGGGUGGGGGUGGAAAGAUUUUGCGGUGUGGGAUGGGCCCGCGGCCUAUUAGCUGGUUGGUGGGGUGAUGGCCUACCAAGGCGACGACGGGUAGCCGGCCUGGGAGGGUGACGGGCCACACUGGGACUGAGAUACGGCCCAGACUCCUACGGGAGGCAGCAGUGGGGAAUAUUGCACAAUGGGCGCAAGCCUGAUGCAGCGACGCCGCGUGAGGGAUGACGUCCUUCGGGUUGUAAACCUCUUUCAGCACCGACGAAGCGCAAGUGACGGUAGGUGCAGAAGAAGGACCGGCCAACUACGUGCCAGCCGCCGCAGUAA
rnacentral:rRNA from 1 species